rnacentral:rRNA from 1 species
AGAGUUUGAUCCUGGCUCAGAGCGAACGCUGGCGGCAGGCUUAACACAUGCAAGUCGAACGCCCCGCAAGGGGAGUGGCGCAAGGGUGAGUAAGGCGACGGUAACCAACCCCGCGGUUGGGCAUAGCCGAGGGAAACCUCGGGUAAUUCCCAGCGAUGUAGCGAGUCGGCAUCGACCUGCUAUCAAAGAUUUAUCGCCGCGGGACGGGCCGUCGUGGUAUUAGGUCGUUGGUGGGGUGACGGCCCACCAAGGCUGCGAUGCCUACCGGGCGUGCGAGCGUGGCCCGGCACACUGGGACUGAGACACUGCCCAGACUCCUACGGGAGGCUGCAGUCGAGAAUCUUCGGCAAUGGGCGCAAGCCUGACCGAGCGACGCCGCGUGGAGGACGAAGGCCUUCGGGUUGUAAACUCCUGUCGAGGGGGAGGAAGGCGGCGCGCAGAGCGUCGCUUGACCGAUCCCUGGAGGAAGCACGGGCUAAGUUCGUGCCAGCAGCCGCGGUAAGACGAACCGUGCGAACGUUGUUCGGAAUCACUGGGCUUAAAGGGCGCGUAGGCGGGCAUGUACGUCUUAGGGUAAAAGCCUCCAGCUUAACUGGAGGUAGCUCGGGAUACGGCAUGUCUAGAGGAAGGCAGGGGCUCGCGGAACACAGAGUGGAGCGGUGAAAUGCGUUGAGAUUCUGUGGAACUCCGGUGGCGAAGGCGGCGAGCUGGACCUUAUCUGACGCUGAGGCGCGAAAGCCAGGGGAGCGAACGGGAUUAGAUACCCCGGUAGUCCUGGCCGUAAACGAUGGGUACUAGGUGUAGGAGGUAUCGACCCCUUCUGUGCCGGAGUUAACGCAAUAAGUACCCCGCCUGGGGAGUACGACCGCAAGGUUGAAACUCAAAGGAAUUGACGGGGGCCCGCACAAGCGGUGGAGCAUGUGGUUUAAUUCGAAGCAACGCGAAGAACCUUACCAGGUCUUGACAUCCCGAUGCCCGCUCUAGAGAUAGAGUUUUACUUCGGUACAUCGGUGACAGGC